rnacentral:rRNA from 1 species
GGCGGCACGCCUAAUACAUGCAAGUCGAACGAAGUAGCAAUACUUAGUGGCAGACGGGUGAGUAACAUGUAGGUAUCUUCCCUAUGGUGAGGAAUAACACGAGGAAACUUGUGCUAAUACCUCAUAAGUCUUUACAGAGAAAGCUUUAUGCGCCAUUGGAUGAGCCUGCACUUGAUUAGUUUGUUGGUAGGGUAAUGGCCUACCAAGACAAUGAUCAAUAGCUGAUUUGAGAGGAUGAUCAGCCACAUUGGGACUGAGACACGGCCCAAACUCCUACGGGAGGCAGCAGUAGGGAAUCUUGCACAAUGGGGGAAACCCUGAUGCAGCGAUGCCGCGUGAGUGAAGAAGGCCUUUGGGUUGUAAAGCUCUUUCGUCGGGGAAGAAAAUGACUGUACCCGAAUAAGAAGGUCCGGCUAACUUCGUGCCAGCAGCCGCGGUAAUACGAAGGGACCUAGCGUAGUUCGGAAUUACUGGGCUUAAAGAGUUCGUAGGUGGUUAAAAUAGUUGGUGGUGAAAUCCCAGAGCUUAACUCUGGAACUGCCAUCAAAACUUUUUAGCUAGAGUAUGAUAGAGGAAAGCAGAAUUUCUAGUGUAGAGGUGAAAUUCGUAGAUAUUAGAAAGAAUACCAAUUGCGAAGGCAGCUUUCUGGAUCAUUACUGACGCUGAGGAACGAAAGCAUGGGUAGCGAAGAGGAUUAGAUACCCUCGUAGUCCAUGCCGUAAACGAUGUGUGUUAGACGUUGGAAAUUUAUUUUCAGUGUCGCAGCGAAAGCAAUAAACACACCGCCUGGGGAGUACG